rnacentral:rRNA from 1 species
GUGUCAGCCGCCGCGGUAAUACGAAUGGGGCAAGCGUUGUUCGGAUUUACUGGGCGUAAAGCGGGCGUAGGCGGCCGGCUAAGUCGGAUGUGAAAUCCCGGGGCUCAACUCCGGAACUGCAUUCGAUACUGGUCGGCUAGAGUUCGAGAGGGGGAUGCGGAAUUCCGCGUGUAGCAGUGAAAUGCGUAGAUAUGCGGAGGAACACCUGAGGCGAAGGCGGCAUCCUGGAUCGACACUGACGCUGAGGCCCGAAAGCGUGGGGAGCAAACAGGAUUAGAUACCCUGGUAGUCCACGCCCUAAACGAUGUCUACUAGCCGUUGCGGGUAUCGACCCCUGCAGUGGCGCAGCUAACGCGAUAAGUAGACCGCCUGGGGAGUACGGCCGCAAGGUUAAAACUCAAAUGAAUUGGCGGGG